GAAAUGCGAUAAGUAAUGUGAAUUGCAGAAUUCAGUGAAUCAUCGAAUCUUUGAACGCACAUUGCGCCCGCCAGCACUCUGGCGGGCAUGCCUGUUCGAGCGUCAUUUCAACCCUCAGAACCCCUUGCGGGAUCUGGCGUUGGGGAUUGGCAUCCAGCCAGCCCCGAAAUCUAGUGGCGGUCCCUCCGCGACCUCCCCUGUGCAGUAGCGAUACCUCGCAGCGGGACAGCGGUCUGACCACGCCGUAAAACCCCCAACUUCUCAAGGUUGACCUCGAAUCAGGUAGGAAUACCGCUGAACUUAAGC
rnacentral:misc_RNA from 1 species